rnacentral:rRNA from 1 species
CCUACGGGAGGCAGCAGUAGGGAAUCUUCGGCAAUGGACGCAAGUCUGACCGAGCAACGCCGCGUGAGUGAAGACGGUUUUCGGAUCGUAAAGCUCUGUUGUAGGGGAAGAACGUGUGUAAGAGUGGAAAGCUUACACAGUGACGGUACCCUACCAGAAAGGGACGGCUAACUACGUGCCAGCAGCCGCGGUAAUACGUAGGUCCCGAGCGUUGUCCGGAUUUAUUGGGCGUAAAGGGAGCGCAGGCGGUUUAGUAAGUCUGAAGUUAAAGGCAUUGGCUCAACCAAUGUAUGCUUUGGAAACUGUUAGACUUGAGUGCAGAAGGGGAGAGUGGAAUUCCAUGUGUAGCGGUGAAAUGCGUAGAUAUAUGGAGGAACACCGGUGGCGAAAGCGGCUCUCUGGUCUGUAACUGACGCUGAGGCUCGAAAGCGUGGGGAGCAAACAGGAUUAGAUACCCUGGUAGUCCACGCCGUAAACGAUGAGUGCUAGGUGUUGGGUCCUUUCCGGGACUCAGUGCCGCAGCUAACGCAUUAAGCACUCCGCCUGGGGAGUACGACCGCAAGGUUGAAACUCAAAGGAAUUGACGG